rnacentral:rRNA from 1 species
UACGUAGGGCGCAAGCGUUGUCCGGAAUUAUUGGGCGUAAAGAGCUCGUAGGCGGUUUGUCGCGUCUGCUGUGAAAACUCGAGGCUCAACCUCGGGCUUGCAGUGGGUACGGGCAGACUAGAGUGCGGUAGGGGUGACUGGAAUUCCUGGUGUAGCGGUGGAAUGCGCAGAUAUCAGGAGGAACACCGAUGGCGAAGGCAGGUCACUGGGCCGCAACUGACGACUGAGACGCGAAAGCGUGGGGAGCAAACAGG